GGGGGGGUGAGGAGAGAUAGCGGUGCUCUAAUUAACUGCAGCACCACUGCUCAGUAUCGAUGCAUGGUUCAAAAGGGGACCCUUUCUGU